ACUGAAACAACCCGUCUCGAAUAGCGUUGUGACUGAUGACUGCAUUUGUAAUUUUCUCAGCGGCAGUGCUAUUCCAGUUGGGUUGUUUGCGG
rfam:Drosophila persimilis strain MSH-3 cont1.001354, whole genome shotgun sequence.